rnacentral:rRNA from 1 species
GACGAACGCUGGCGGCGUGCUUAACACAUGCAAGUCGAACGGAAAGGCCUCUUUCGGGGUGUCCUCGAGUGGCGAACGGGUGAGUAACACGUGAGUAACUUGCCCUUGACUUUGGGAUAACUUCAGGAAACUGGGGCUAAUACCGGAUAGGAGUUCCUGUUGCAUGGUGGGGGUUGGAAAGUUUCGGCGGUUGGGGAUGCGCUGGCGGGGUAUCGGCUUGUUGGUGGGGUAGUGGGUUACCAAGGCUUGAACGGGUAGCCGGCCUGAGAGGGUGACCGGCGACACUGACACUGAGAGGAGGCCCAGAUGCCGACGGGAGGAAGCUGGGGGGAAUCCUGAUCAAUGCGUGCAACCCUGAGGCAGAAACGCCUCGUGCAGGAUGACGCUCUUGGUGUUGAAGACCGCUUUCGCUCUAGUCGAAGGGGUGUAUGACGGUACUGGAUGAAGAAGCACCGGCUAACUACGUG